CAGCAGAAUACGGACCACCCCUUCAGGAGGGAUUGAAAGAAACAGAAACCACCAAACUGUCUUCCAAAGUGGCUGUACCAUUUUGCCUUCCCACCAGCAAUGAACGAGAGUUCCUGUGGCUCCACAUCCUCAUCAGCAUUUAGAGUUGUCAGUCUUCCAGAUCUUGGCCAUUCUAAUAGGCCUCAUCUGAUGUCUCACCUGAAAGAAGUGUGGUCACAGAAAUGACAGAAGUUUAUCAUUUGCCAAACCUUGGACUGGAGCGGGCGUUUAACAACAUAUUUAUGCCAACAGCUUCUUAACACCCUUG
rnacentral:lncRNA from 1 species